rnacentral:lncRNA from 1 species
UUUCUAGUGAUUCUGCCCAUUCUGAUCAGGGCUUUUAGACACUUGGUAUGUUGGGGCUUGUUGCCACUGAAAAGUUCGUGACCACAGAUGGCCACAGUGUCUUCCUCCAAGGAAACUCGAAGCCAGAAAUGAACAUUCUUGGUCGCAGAUAACUGGGUUAUGACAGCAUGCAAAGGUCCACUGCUCAUAGACCACCUGUGACUCCAGCCCCUUCCCCUAUAGCAGCAUGUUUACUGAUUGGCAACUUGUGCUUAGGUAGUGGAAUCUGUUUUCCCUGUAACCAUGAGCCCAAGAUGGAAAAAAGAAAGCCGUGUAUCUUAUGAAUGGCCUUAUCUGUUUCCUGGGUAAUACCUUUAAGAAUAAUGUUGUGCAGAGAUUGUCUUUCACUUGAGGAGUAAGUACUCAGUGUUUGGGUUCUUCCUAGCUCGGGGCUUUAAAAUUUUGAAAUCUAAACAUUCUUUCCCAC